CGGAGGGUGCAAGCGUUAUCCGGAUUUACUGGGUUUAAAGGGUGUGUAGGCGGACUUUUAAGUCAGCGGUGAAAUCUCCGGGCUCAACCCGGAAACUGCCAUUGGUACUAUUGGUCUUGAAUGUUGUUGAGGUGGGCGGAACGGGUCAUGUAGCGGUGAAAUGCAUAGAUAUGACCCGGAACACCGAUUGCGAAGGCAGCCCACUAAGCAAUGAUUGACGCUGAGGCACGAAAGCGUGGGGAUCAAACAGGAUUAGAUACCCUGGUAGUCCACGCCCUAAACGAUGAUUACUCGACGUUGGCGAUACACUGAUCAGCGUCCAAGCGAAAGCAUUAAGUAAUCCACCUGGGAAGUACGUUCGCAAGAAUG
rnacentral:rRNA from 1 species